GAGAAAAGAGAAAUAGAAUUUGACUUUUUGGGAGUAUUUUCUUUUUGCUCUUUCUUCUUGUUUUGUUUUUUCUCGACCUUUGUCUCUUCUUUUGAAGGUGUGCCAAGUUUUAUAUCCUAAACUAAGAGACCAAACAGCAGCACGAAGAUGAGAAGGAACAUCUUUCUCUUUCAAAAGUUGAAGAACUUUUGCAUUGGAAGAAGAAGAUUGAGAGAAAGAGAAA
rnacentral:ribozyme from 13 species